UACGGGGGGGGUAAGCGUUGUUCGGAAUUACUGGGCGUAAAGGGCUCGUAGGCGGCCAACUAAGUCAGACGUGAAAUCCCUCAGCUUAACUGGGGAACUGCGUCUGAUACUGGAUGGCUUGGAUUCGGGAGAGGAAUGCGGAAUUCCAGGUGUAGCGGUGAAAUGCGUAGAUAUCUGGAGGAACACCGGUGGCGAAGGCGGCAUUCUGGACCGACACUGACGCUCAUGCACGAAAGCGUGGGGAGCAAACAGG
rnacentral:rRNA from 1 species